CUUUACUUUGUCUCACCUACUCUUAUUUUAUCCUGGGUUAUAAUGAGGUCCAAUUGUCUUCCCGAAAGGUUAUUUGUUUAAGAGAGAUACUCUAACUCAAUUAUCUGGGAAUAAAAGGAACAAAAGAAAGCCAUUAUGCAAAUGUCAGCAAAUCUGGAGUUUCCAAACCAAUUUAUAAUUAAUAUCAAGCUUCUCCUCGUAUGCCAUUAAUAUUAUAACCUCUGAAAGGAGAGAUGAUCAUUCAUUGGCCUAAAAGGAUGUUUUAAGAAAUCUUGCCUGUGGUUCUCAAAAGUUGACAUCAGGAGACUAUAGUACACGGUCUUUGUUGUCCUUGAAUACAGAAAAAAACAAAGAUCCAGUUCAAAAGUAUCUCUCCCAGAAGUCUGAUUUCCCUAAUGAAUGAUCUUCCCUGGCU
rnacentral:lncRNA from 1 species